GACGAACCGUGCGAACGUUAUUCGGAAUCACUGGCUUAAAGGGCGCGAGUAGGCGGGCCGCCAAGUCAGGGGUGAAAGCCUCCGGCUCAACCGGAGAAGUGCCUUUGAUACUGGCGGCCUAGAGGGAGGUAGGGGCCUGCGGAACUUCCGGUGGAGCGGUGAAAUGCGUAGAUAUCGGAAGGAACGCCGGUGGCGAAAGCGGCGGGCUGGACCUCUUCUGACGCUGAGGCGCGGAAAGCCAGGGGAGCAAAGCGGG
rnacentral:rRNA from 1 species